AGCUUUGCACAGGGGCAGUAUUAUAGCCAAUGAGGUUUUAUCCUAGACAUGAUCAUUGCUAAUUGAAAACUUUUCCUAAUAGGCCACUGUAACAAUUUGCAAUAUAUUUGGCAUUGGCAAUUUUUGAAAGUCUCUAUGGAGA
rnacentral:snRNA from 1 species